AGCGAACGCUGGCGGCAGGCUUAACACAUGCAAGUCGAACGGGCUUCUUCGGAAGUCAGUGGCAGACGGGUGAGUAACACGUGGGAACGUGCCCUUCGGUUCGGAAUAACUCAGGGAAACUUGAGCUAAUACCGGAUACGCCCUUCUGGGGAAAGGUUUACUGCCGAAGGAUCGGCCCGCGUCUGAUUAGCUUGUUGGUGGGGUAACGGCCUACCAAGGCGACGAUCAGUAGCUGGUCUGAGAGGAUGAUCAGCCACACUGGGACUGAGACACGGCCCAGACUCCUACGGGAGGCAGCAGUGGGGAAUAUUGGACAAUGGGCGCAAGCCUGAUCCAGCCAUGCCGCGUGAGUGAUGAAGGCCUUAGGGUUGUAAAGCUCUUUUGUCCGGGACGAUAAUGACGGUACCGGAAGAAUAAGCCCCGGCUAACUUCGUG
rnacentral:rRNA from 1 species